rnacentral:rRNA from 1 species
UACGAAGGGGGCGAACGUUGUUCGGAAUUACUGGGCGUAAAGGGCGCGCAGGCGGCCUUAGAAGUCAGAUGUGAAAGCCCCGGGCUCAACCUGGGAAUGGCAUUUGAUACUCUGAGGCUGGAGUACGGGAGAGGAGAGUGGAAUUCCCAGUGUAGAGGUGAAAUUCGUAGAUAUUGGGAAGAACACCGGUGGCGAAGGCGGCUCUCUGGACCGUAACUGACGCUGAGGCGCGAAAGCGUGGGGAGCAAACAGG